ACCUGCAUGAAGCUGGAAUCGCUAGUAACCGCAGGUCAGCUAAACUGCGGUGAAUACGUUCCCGGGCCUUGUACACACCGCCCGUCAAGUCACCUGAAUUGUCUGCACCCGAAGCCAGUGGCCGAACCCGCAAGGGGCGGAGCUGUCUAAGGUGUGGGGAGUAAGGGGGACUAAGUCGUAACAAGGUAGCCGUAUCGGAAGGUGCGGCUGGAUCACC
rnacentral:rRNA from 15 species